CUCNUCCCCCUCGACAGUUUAAAAACUGGAUACUGAAUACGGCCGUGGGCCUGGGUGGUUCCCGGUAACACGAAAGCCAACAGCCGCCGGGUUGCUAGCUGNUGCCCUAGACCUUGCAGCGUUGUUUGUUAGAUACGACAACAACGCAAUCCGACCUCAGAUCAGGCGGGAUUACACGCUGAACUUA
rnacentral:rRNA from 1 species